rnacentral:rRNA from 1 species
GAUGAACGCUAGCGGGAGGCCUAACACAUGCAAGCCGAGCGGUAUUGUUUCUUCGGAAAUGAGAGAGCGGCGUACGGGUGCGGAACACGUGUGCAACCUGCCUUUAUCUGGGGGAUAGCCUUUCGAAAGGAAGAUUAAUACUCCAUAACAUAUUGAUUGGCAUCAAUUAAUAUUGAAAGCUCCGGCGGAUAGAGAUGGGCACGCGCAAGAUUAGCUAGUUGGUGAGGUAACGGCUCACCAAGGCGAUGAUCUUUAGGGGGCCUGAGAGGGUGAUCCCCCACACUGGUACUGAGACACGGACCAGACUCCUACGGGAGGCAGCAGUGAGGAAUAUUGGUCAAUGGGUGCAAGCCUGAACCAGCCAUCCCGCGUGAAGGACGACUGCCCUAUGGGUUGUAAACUUCUUUUGUAUAGGGAUAAACCUACCCUCGUGAGGGUAGCUGAAGGUACUAUACGAAUAAGCACCGGUUAACUCCGUGCCAGCAGCCGCCGUAAUAC